UACAGAGGGUGCGAGCGUUGUCCGGAAUCACUGGGCGUAAAGGGCGCGUAGGCGGUCUGGUAAGCGUGCGGUGAAAGCCCGGGGCUCAACCCCGGGUCGGCCGUGCGAACUGCUGGACUGGAGCUUGUCAGAGGCAGGCGGAAUUCCGGGUGUAGCGGUGGAAUGCGUAGAGAUCCGGAAGAACACCGGUGGCGAAGGCGGCCUGCUGGGACAGUGCUGACGCUGAGGUGCGAAAGCGUGGGGAGCAAACAGG
rnacentral:rRNA from 1 species